rnacentral:rRNA from 1 species
UACGUAGGCAGCGAGCGUUGUUCGGAGUUACUGGGCGUAAAGGGUGUGUAGGCGGUUUUCUAAGUUUGGUGUGAAAUCUCCCGGCUCAACCGGGAGGGUGCGCCGAAAACUGGGAGACUAGAGUGCGGGAUGGGAGAGUAGAAUUCCUGGUGUAGCGGUGAAAUGCGUAGAUAUCAGGAGGAAUACCGGUGGGGUAGACGGCUCUCUGGACCGCCACUGACGCUGAGACACGAAAGCGUGGGUAGCAAACAGG